GAUGAACGCUAGCGGCAGGCCUAAUACAUGCAAGUCGAGGGGCAGCAGGAAUAGCAAUAUUUGCUGGCGACCGGCGCACGGGUGCGUAACACGUAUACAAUCUGCCUUUAACAGGGGGAUAGCCCGGAGAAAUCCGGAUUAAUACCCCAUAACAGAUCGAAUGGCAUCAUUUGAUUUUGAAAGCUCCGGCGGUUAAAGAUGAGUAUGCGUCUGAUUAGCUAGAUGGUGAGGUAACGGCUCACCAUGGCGACGAUCAGUAGGGGAUCUGAGAGGAUUAACCCCCACACGGAUACUGAGACACGGAUCCGACUCCUACGGGAGGCAGCAGUAAGGAAUAUUGGACAAUGCCCGCAAGGGUGAUCCAGCCAUGCCGCGUGCAGGAAGACAGCCCUAUGGGUCGUAAACUGCUUUUACACCGGAGAAAACCCCCCUACGUGUAGGGGGCUGAUAGUAUGGUGAGAAUAAGCAUCGGCUAACUUCGUGCCAGCAGCCGCCGUAACAC
rnacentral:rRNA from 1 species